CACAAAAUUCAUAGGAAUCGGGAUCUUCUAAAUAUACUACCAUACGGCGAAAUGGCUUACCUCAGAAAAUUCCUGAUUGUUUUUCCAUCAUCUACCCGUCCAUUCCAGUCGUAUUCAAGAGCUGCCAUAUGGACUGUGCCAAUUCUGAAGUCAGAAAGAGGGGGCAUUGGCCUCUCAAUAGACAGAGACAUUGUCAGCAUCUAGCAUGCGGAUGGCGAUACAUAAGCAAAGUAUUCGUAGGGACGAAAGAACUGCACUGUACCUGUUUGCCAUAACAACAACAAUUCAUUUGUUGUCGGGGUUGUGUUGGAGGGAGUGUUCAUCCAGGGUUGGACAGAAGCAAGUCCCAUCCAUCAAAAGAUCUCCUUAAAAGAAAGAAAGUUUCAACUCUGAUGUUAAAGAAAAUCCAACAGCAUCAGAAUGAUGGAAGGGAAGACUGAACGGAAUGGAAUGAUGGAUGAGAAAACCUUGUCUAUCCUGGACCGAAAGUGUACAGUAUUUUGCAGGUGCUGCCUUAGAGUCGAGUGUAUUCGUUCAUCACGUAUUCUCGUCACGGCGACGGAUAUGACCAGUGCAUUAACUGCUGAUGCUGUACAGGACUGUUGCAUCAUUAUCAGCAGGAGCAGUGCCGACGAGGCGAAGUCAAAGUCGGCAAACGUCCUGAGUGACAACCAAAUCCGGUCGACAACAACACAAGCACAUUUAUCUUCUAUUUUUCUCUGCUUAGUGAAGAUGGGCUAGUAAAUGUUGCCCGCCAUGAAGAAGAAGAAUUAGUGGACGGAAUAAAUGAACUAGGGCUAUCCCUGAUGGAAGCCUCCUGAUAACGUGCUCGUGAUAACUACAAGCUACAUGUAAUUCAUUCAAAUCCAAUCACUAAAACGCUUAUUCAGAGUCAGACAUUGAGCUAGUCCAAGGAAGAAAGACGAGAAAAGAUGAAAACAAGUUUGACAACUCGCAACAGAUGGUGGACGAGAAAUAAUAA